GACGUAGGGUGCAAGCGUUGUCCGGAAUUAUUGGGCGUAAAGAGCUCGUAGGCGGUCUGUCGCGUCGGAUGUGAAAAUCCAGGGCUCAACCCUGGACCUGCAUUCGAUACGGGCAGACUAGAGUUCGGUAGGGGAGACUGGAAUUCCUGGUGUAGCGGUGAAAUGCGCAGAUAUCAGGAGGAACACCGGUGGCGAAGGCGGCUUCCUGGACCGAUUACUGACGCUGAGGCGCGAAAGCUAGGGGAGCAAACGGG
rnacentral:rRNA from 1 species